AUUGAACGCUGGCGGCAUGCCUAACACAUGCAAGUCGAACGGUAACAUUGGAGCUUGCUCCAGAUGACGAGUGGCGGACGGGUGAGUAACGCGUGGGAAUCUACCUAUUAGUUGGGGAUAGCCCGGAGAAAUCCGGAUUAAUACCGAAUAAGAUCUACGGAUGAAAAGGUGCCUCUGCUUGCAAGCACUUGCUAAUAGAUGAGCCCGCGUUAGAUUAGCUAGUUGGUGGGGUAAAGGCCUACCAAGGCGACGAUCUAUAGCUGGUUUGAGAGGAUGAUCAGCCACAUUGGGACUGAGACACGGCCCAGACUCCUACGGGAGGCAGCAGUGGGGAAUAUUGGACAAUGGGCGGAAGCCUGAUCCAGCAAUGCCGCGUGUGUGAAGAAGGCCUUCGGGUUGUAAAGCACUUUUAUGAGGGAAGAAGUUAUAUAUGUUAAUAGCGUAUGUAUUUGACGGUACCUCAAGAAUAAGCACCGGCUAACUCCG
rnacentral:rRNA from 1 species